AUGAAACCUUAGAAUAGCUUCUCCUUCCAGUUUGGGACUUCCCUAGGGAGAAAAGGUUCAAGUUCUCUCUGAAGUCACACUGAGAUUCUGAACAGAGAAGAUGCUGGCCCAAGUCCGUCAGAAUGAGUGCUGAAAGAAGCAAUGGCUUGGGAUUUCUGAAACUGACUGAGGAAGGACAGAGGACUGCCAUUUCCUCUCCCCAUCUUCUUAACAAGGGCAGCUUUAUGUGAACAGGGCGCGCUAAUGCCUUCAUGCACGGUUCUGGCUAUAGUCAUUCAGUUGUGGGCGAUUCUUUGCGACCUUAUAGACCUUUUCACACUGAUAUUCUCCAUGAGGUUGUCUUGGUCCUGGACUGGUGUGCCAUUGCCUUCUUCAUUGGAUUAAGAUAAGAAAACUGAAGCCCAGAUACAACCUGCAUCACCCAUUUUCACCCAGCUUGUAAAUGAAAAGACCAGCACGACAAGUCAGACCUACAGACUCAGACUCCAGUGUUCUGCAUGCUACAUGUUUGUGUCCUCACUCUUAGUCAGCACUUAUGAGAAUGGACAGUUACCAUAGUCUGAAAUAAUUUAUUCAUGGUGAGCUGCUAACCAUCUGGGAAUCAGAUGGAAAUUGAUAAGGAUGCCUGGAGAAUGAGUCUAAAAGAAGUACAUCAUCAAGGAGUCAACUGGGCUACCCAUAGCAAAAACUGUGAAUCAGGUGCUUUAGCUGUGAUGCCCCAUCAGAGCCCUCAGAAGCCCUCUGGUGAGGUGAGGAUCCUCAUUAUGACAUUUCACCUGGACCUUCCCUCCCACUAAGCUGUUCUUGCUACCUACAUUUCCCUCUUCAAAAGUCACCAGUCCCAUUCUCUUUGCUUUAGCACCUUUUCCACGGUAUCAGGUCUAAUAAAAGAAUGCCAGCUGAAGCCUUUCCUGAUUGCCCCUCAUUCUAAUUCCUUCCCUUUAAAAAAAUCAAUCAUGCAUAUAGCUUGUUUAUAUGUGUUUGUCCUCUCCCCCAUUAGACUGUAAAAUCCUUGAGAGAAGGGACUGCCUUUUACUUUUCUUUGUAUCUCUAGAGUUUAGCACAUAGAAGGAACUUAAUAAAUGUUGUGUUUUUUUUUUUAAACUGGCUACUUAGAGGUUAGUGAAUAUACUAGCCACUCACUCUACCCUUUAACGUUCUCUGGGAAGAUAUGUUCCAUUUUUUCCUUUACAAAAAAUUAGCCUUCCUUUAUUUGCUUGGAGUCACAUUUUUAAAGCUGCUCACAAGAUUCUACUAUACUUCCUAUUCGCUGUGCUUCUCUCCUAUUUCUGUAGUCAUUUUCACUAAAAAAAUUCAGCACAGAACUUACGAGACAGAUUAAUUGCUUCUCUAAAAUGGAGCAGAUUGGCUUGGAUAAAAAUGACCUAGCAUCUUGGCUGGCAUUUUUUAGGAAGUUCUAUUUCAAGAGGAUUAAAUGGUACCUCAGAUCACCCCAUGAAACAAUAUGAGCACUACAGAAGGCAAAAUAACUGUCCAAAAAAGAUCUAGUUUUCAAGCCUAACCCAACAACGAUAAAGUAUUUGCACUGUCAAAUCACCCCACAGCACAUUUCUGACCCUAUAGUAUGGUGUCUUUUUUUUAAGCCUGCAACUGUUGAGCUCUCCUCAGCCCUUUAUUUCCAUCUGCCUGCUGACCCAUGCAGCUGCCUUAAUGUCUACUUCAGGGGAUGGCUUAGACCUGCAUUGCCAGCAGAAAGUAACACAAUGACAGCAGUUUCUGUGGGAAUGAAAAAAAGAGAGAGAGCAAAGGAGAACUUGGAAGCCCUGUCUUUCUCUGGACAGCUGAAAUUAAGAUAGAGAAAAGUCCCUAAAAAUCAUGCCCUAGAAAUUUUAGGCAGCCCACAUCUUUUGGGAGAGAAGACAAGUGAACUGGUCACCUAUUUUUGGACAGCUUCCUUUUCAGAAGAAGGGACAAGUUGUUUUAGGGCCACAAACGGGGAAUUAUCUGCAUAAAGAGACUCCAGGAGAUUCAUUGCAUAACUUAAUCACUUAAAAAUAAUUUGACCAAUGUUUCGCUGGAGUUCACUCAUAAUGAAUAAGCUUCCAUCAACUGUCUGAUCAAAAUUGUGUUCAUCUCAGUGGACACUGGAAGUCUAAUCGAGAUGGUAAUUAAUUCCUUCGAGAGUAUGGCUAUUUCCAGGCCAACAUUGAUCAGUAUCCUUCUGGCAGAUUAGAAACAUGAACUAUUUUCUGGUAUCAUUUCUUCAAAUGCACAUAUAAGCAGUCUUUUUGAGGCAAUCUAUAUCUACUUUAAACAUCUUCAUUAUAGACAAAAAUGAGACUGAAUGAAAUUAGGAAAAUGGCCAUCAUCCAGUAAAAUACUAGGUUGAAAGAAAAAAUAAGAAAUACGUGAAAACUGAAGGACACUUUAGUACUGAAACUUGAAUCAAGUUAGACUCAACAGAAUGUGGUACGCUAGACUUUUCAAAAAUGGCUUUAAGUAAGGUAACAUCCAUUAAUUCAGCAGACAUUUAUUAAGCAUGUGUAAUAUGCUGUUUUUUUUAUUAUUUUUAUUUUUUUUUAUUUUUUUUAAUUUUAUAGUAUUUUAUUUGUUCAUUUCCAUGCAUUUUUCAUUAAAGACAAAGAUCAUUUUCUUUUCCUCCCUCCCACCCCCCGUGGCCGACGUGUGAUUCCACUGGUAUCAUAUGUGUUCUUGACUUGAACCCAUUGCCAUGUUGUUAGUAUUUGCAUCAGAGUGUUCGCUCCGAGUCUUUCCUCUGUCAUGUCCCCUCAGCCAUUGUAGUCAGGCAGUUGCUUUUCCUUGGUGUUUCUACUCCCUCAGUUUGUCCUCUGCUUAUGGAUAGUGUUUUUUUCUCCUUGAUCCCUGCAGAUUGUGCAGGGACAUUACACCACCACUAAUGGAGAAGUCCAUUACGUUCGAUGAUACCACAGUGUGUUUGUCUCUGUGUACAAUGUUCUCCUGAUUCUGCUCCUCUCGCUCUGCAUUACUUCCUGGAGGUUGUUCCAGUUCACAUGGAAAUCCUCCACUUUAUUAUUCCUUUGAGCACAAUAGUAUUCCAUCACCAACAGAUACCACAAUUUGCUCAGCCAUUCCCCGAUGGAAGGGCAUCCCCUCAUUUUCCAAUUUUUGGCCACCACAAAGAGCGCAGCUAUGAAUAUUUUUGUACAAGUCUUUUUGUCCAUUAUCUCUUUGGGGUACAAACCCAGCAGUGGUAUGACUGGAUCAAAGG